rnacentral:rRNA from 1 species
AACGAACGCUGGCGGCGCGCCUAAUACAUGCAAGUCGAGCGAGAAGACGUAGCAAUACGUUUGUAAAGCGGCGAACGGGUGAGGAAUACAUGGGUAACCUACCCUCGAGUGGGGAAUAACUAGCCGAAAGGUUAGCUAAUACCGCGUACGCUCCUUGGACUUCGGUUCAGGGAGGAAAGCGAUACCGUGGGUAUCGCGCUCUUGGAUGGGCUCAUGUCCUAUCAGCUUGUUGGUGAGGUAACGGCUCACCAAGGCUUCGACGGGUAGCUGGUCUGAGAGGACAAUCAGCCACACUGGCACUGCGACACGGGCCAGACUCCUACGGGAGGCAGCAGUAAGGAAUAUUGCGCAAUGGGCGAAAGCCUGACGCAGCGACGCCGCGUGGGGGAU